AUUAUAAUAUACUAGCGAUCCGCCCUCGCUUCGCUUCGGAAACAUCAAAUUUUAUUAUUGAUAGUCUUAAAAAAGUAGCCUAAGUUACUUCUUAUAUCAUCAUAGAAUCACCAUAGAAAUCAGAUAGAAACUGUUGACAUUACAUCGUCUACCACUUUUAUUGAGAUGCGGCUUCAGGCCUAUAUUUCUACAGGAAUACUUUCACUGUUCCUGUGCAAUUAGAAGAUUUCUUCAUGCUGACUCCGAUAACUCUGACUCAGACCCAUCAGCAUUGAGCUAUCAGAUAUCACUCAUUAAAAUAAAUCUAAACUUACCUCCGUCUAACAGUUCAGUCUUGCUCUUCAUUGUGCGGUGUACAUGGAGAGCACAUCGCCUACCGAGGACCAGCCUUUUCAAUGUAACUGCCACGGUCUCUGGAGAUUCUUGACUCUGUUCUUGGGCUGGAUCUUUCCCUGAUUGUGCUAAAAGAACUGAAAUAGAUUUAUACGGUUAGCCGUUGGAACUCUGUGAUUUGUGAGAAAGGUUGACCUACACGAUGACCGGGGCCUCGAAUCCAUCCGGAAACACAUGAAGUCAGCGUCGGAACGGUACUUCUACAAGGCUAUGUGUCAUGACAGCCGCCUUCUCGUUGCCGCCGCUGACUCCCCAAAUCCUGAUCACGCAGGAGCCAGCCGCCGUCAACGCCGACGUCGAUCGAUCCAUCAGAUCCAAUAACCCUUGUACUGACGUCCGGUGCAUUCGUGUUGAGCGAUGCACCGAUGUACGAAUCCCAGGAGGGUACCAAUUUUCAUAAUGAAAUAUGUACUCAAUAAAUUUUCACGAUUGACUUCCACGGUGUAGGAAUAAUAUCGUGUAAUAAAAAUCAAACCCGCAAAAUUAUAAUUUGCGUAAUUACUGGUGGUAGGACCUCUUGUGAGUCCACGCGGGUAGGUACCACCACCCUCCCUAUUUCUGCCGUGAAGCAGUAAUGCGUUUCGGUUUGAUGGGAGGGGCAGUCGUUGUAACUAUACUUGAGACCUUAGAACUGAUAUCUCAAGGUGGGUGGCGCAUUUACGUCAUAGAUGUCCAUGGGCUUCAGUAACCACUUAACAUCAGGUGGUCUGUGAGCUCGUCCACCCAUAAAGACUUAAGGACCCCGGUAACCGUACUCGUCGAAAUCGGCAAAGAGUUCGACGUGCAACCUAACCCAUGCAUCAGUCCGCUGAGUUUCUCGUCGGAUCUUCUCAGCGGGUCGCGAUUCCGAUCCGGUAGUAGAUUCAUUCGUGAAGCAGUUGCUCUCGAGUUGCUAGGUCUCAUUUGGAGGCGCUCGGGCACCUGUUAGCAAAUCCCACCCUCCUGGCUGAGCCUUUGCUCGCCCACCUGCCCUAGUGAAACUGGAAAGGCGUCUGGGUCACGAGUAAUAAUUUAUUUAAAAAAAAAACCGGAGACAAAUACUGUAAUUUGUUUGUACGUGCUACGAUUAAAUUUGGAAAUAAAUAAAUUAAUCAAACGGGCA